UUGCAAAGCUGAAACUUAAAGGAA
rnacentral:piRNA from 6 species